rnacentral:piRNA from 1 species
UAUUGGUACAGAGACAGGCAGGUAGAC